AGUGAACGCUGGCGGUAGGCCUAACACAUGCAAGUCGAACGGCAGCACAGUAAGAGCUUGCUCUUACGGGUGGCGAGUGGCGGACGGGUGAGGAAUACGUCGAAAUCUACUUUUUCGUGGGGGAUAACGUAGGGAAACUUACGCUAAUACCGCAUACGACCUACGGGUGAAAGCAGGGGAUCUUCGGACCUUGCGCGAUUGAAUGAGCCGAUGUCGGAUUAGCUAGUUGGCGGGGUAAAGGCCCACCAAGGCGACGAUCCGUAGCUGGUCUGAGAGGAUGAUCAGCCACACUGGAACUGAGACACGGUCCAGACUCCUACGGGAGGCAGCAGUGGGGAAUAUUGGACAAUGGGCGCAAGCCUGAUCCAGCCAUACCGCGUGGGUGAAGAAGGCCUUCGGGUUGUAAAGCCCUUUUGUUGGGAAAGAAAAGCAGCAGGUUAAUACCCCGCUGUUCUGACGGUACCCAAAGAAUAAGCACCGGCUAACUUCGUG
rnacentral:rRNA from 1 species